GACCAGACUCCUACGGGAGGCAGCAGUGGGGAAUAUUGCACAAUGGGGGAAACCCUGAUGCAGCGACGCCGCGUGAGUGAAGAAGUAUUUCGGUAUGUAAAGCUCUAUCAGCAGGGAAGAAGUUGACGGUACCUGAGUAAGAAGCCCCGGCUAACUACGUGCCAGCAGCCGCGGUAAUACGUAGGGGGCAAGCGUUAUCCGGAUUUACUGGGUGUAAAGGGAGCGUAGACGGCAGUGCAAGUCUGAAGUGAAAGCCCCGGGCUUAACCCGGGAAUUGCUUUGGAAACUGUACGGCUGGAGUGCUGGAGAGGUAAGCGGAAUUCCUAGUGUAGCGGUGAAAUGCGUAGAUAUUAGGAGGAACACCAGUGGCGAAGGCGGCUUACUGGACAGUAACUGACGUUGAGGCUCGAAAGCGUGGGGAGCAAACAGGAUUAGAUACCCCGGUAA
rnacentral:rRNA from 1 species